rnacentral:tRNA from 1 species
GCCUCCUUAGCUCAGUGGUAGAGCAACGCACUUGUAAUGCGUAGGUCGUCAGUUCAAUCCUGACAGGGGGCUCCG